rnacentral:lncRNA from 1 species
GAAGACCGUAGCUAGGAAAAAACCUACCACCAAGUAUAGGUCGUGCCUCAGGACAUUUCUAGAGAUGACCGAUAUACCGACCGGAGGUGUUCGGACUGUACAUAUGGAGGUAGGGAUUUUCGGCUUUGAUUACGACCAAAUGAUUGGUAAUGAAGACUUCAUGCAAGUUUUUAGUCAUGAAGAAAUCGGCGUCACCGUUGUCAAUACAUAUAUUAGGUAAAUCCGGUCUACUUUGUUUUAUUAAUUAAACAACUUAUGUUAAUGAUGUUUACUUUAUGUUAAUCCGGUUUACUUUAUGUUUCAAAAGAGGUGUUAAUGAUGUUUUUAUAUUAGGUUUUUGUAUGACAAAUUGAUGCGCCCCAAUGGUUUGGACGUGUCAUUCGGAUUCUUAGCACCCGCGACCGUCAACUUAGGUUUAAUCUUAAGUAGACCGGAUACCGUGACGGAGUACGUUCUUCGGAUCCUCAUGGACAAUAAAGAUGCGGAGAAGUUGUUUUUUAUACCGUUUAAUACCGGGUUAGCAUUUCAUUCUAAAUUCAUCUAUUAUAAUUAUUUUCCAAGUUACCAUCUAACAUUUGCCUAAUCAUUACAGUGGACAUUGG